rnacentral:rRNA from 1 species
UACAGAGGUCUCAAGCGUUGUUCGGAUUCAUUGGGCGUAAAGGGUGCGUAGGCGGCGCGGUAAGUCGGGUGUGAAAUCUCGGAGCUUAACUCCGAAACUGCAUUCGAUACUGCCGUGCUUGAGGACUGGAGAGGAGACUGGAAUUUACGGUGUAGCGGUGAAAUGCGUAGAUAUCGGGAGGAACACCUGUGGCGAAAGCGGCGCACUGGACCACAACUGACGCUGAGGCGCGAAAGCUAGGGGAGCAAACAGG